rnacentral:rRNA from 1 species
CCAGGAUGUUGGCUUAGAAGCAGCCAUCAUUUAAAGAAAGCGUAAUAGCUCACUGGUCGAGUCGGCCUGCGCGGAAGAUGUAACGGGGCUAAACCAUGCACCGAAGCUGCGGCAGCGACGCUGAUGCGUUGUUGGGUAGGGGAGCGUUCUGUAAGCCUGCGAAGGUGGCCUGUGAGGGUUGCUGGAGGUAUCAGAAGUGCGAAUGCUGACAUAAGUAACGAUAAAGCGGGUGAAAAGCCCGCUCGCCGGAAGACCAAGGGUUCCUGUCCAACGUUAAUCGGGGCAGGGUGAGUCGACCCCUAAGGCGAGGCCGAAAGGCGUAGUCGAUGGGAAACGGGUUAAUAUUCCCGUACUUGGUGUUACUGCGAAGGGGGGACGGAGAAGGCUAUGUUGGCCGGGCGACGGUUGUCCCGGUUUAAGCGUGUAGGUGUGUGUUCCAGGUAAAUCCGGUUCACUUUAACACUGAGGCGUGAUGACGAGGCACUACGGUGCUGAAGCAACAAAUGCCCUGCUUCCAGGAAAAGCCUCUAAGCAUCAGGUAACAUCAAAUCGUACCCCAAACCGACACAGGUGGUCAGGUAGAGAAUACCAAGGCGCUUGAGAGAACUCGGGUGAAGGAACUAGGCAAAAUGGUGCCGUAACUUCGGGAGAAGGCACGCUGACACGUAGGUGAAGUGAUUUACUCAUGGAGCUGAAGUCAGUCGAAGAUACCAGCUGGCUGCAACUGUUUAUUAAAAACACAGCACUGUGCAAACACGAAAGUGGACGUAUACGGUGUGACGCCUGCCCGGUGCCGGAAGGUUAAUUGAUGGGGUCAGCGCAAGCGAAGCUCCUGAUCGAAGCCCCGGUAAACGGCGGCCGUAACUAUAACGGUCCUAAGGUAGCGAAAUUCCUUGUCGGGUAAGUUCCGACCUGCACGAAUGGCGUAAUGAUGGCCAGGCUGUCUCCACCCGAGACUCAGUGAAAUUGAACUCGCUGUGAAGAUGCAGUGUACCCGCGGCAAGACGGAAAGACCCCGUGAACCUUUACUAUAGCUUGACACUGAACAUUGAGCCUUGAUGUGUAGGAUAGGUGGGAGGCUUUGAAGUGUGGACGCCAGUCUGCAUGGAGCCGACCUUGAAAUACCACCCUUUAAUGUUU